rnacentral:rRNA from 1 species
AUUGAACGCUGGCGGCAUGCCUAACACAUGCAAGUCGAGCGAGCGGCGGACGGGUGAGUAAUGUCUGGGAAACUGCCUGAUGGAGGGGGAUAACUACUGGAAACGGUAGCUAAUACCGCAUACCAUCAGAUGUGCCCAGAUGGGAUUAGCUAGGAGGGGGGGUAACGGCUCACCUAGGCGACGAUCCCUAGCGGAUCUGAGAGGAUGACCGGCCACACUGGAACUGAGCCACGGUCCAGACUCCUACGGGAGGCAGCAGUGGGGAAUAUUGCACAAUGGGCGAAAGCCUGAUGCAGCCAUGCCGCGUGUGUGAAGAAGGCCUUCGGGUUGUAAAGCACUUUUGGCGGGGAGGCGUUACCCAAAGAAGAAGCACCGGCUAACUACGUGCCAGCAGCCGCGGUAAUAC